AGCAUUCAUCCAUGAUUCCAUCCUGGUUCCUCUGCACAGAGAACUUCUGCUUCAAUGAGAGGGAACCCACAGGAGCUGCAUGCUCUUGAUGCUGACUAGCAGUACUGGCUGCAUGUGGAAUAGGGCCACCUUCGUUCUGACUCUGGCAACUGGGAGCUCAUAAGCCUUCAACAUCAUGGGAGGGGAUCUCCUUCAUGGGAGAGGAUCUUAGCUCAGACAAGAAUAAGAAGAGAGAUGGACUGUGAUUAAAUGCCAGGGAACAGACCUCCGUCAGAUGAGCUGGAUUCUUUCAGGAUAUCGUUUCUUGGGUUUAAUAGUAACGUGCCCUACAGCAGUGACUACACUCCUCAUCGUCUGAGCUUGGACUGGUUUUCUCUAGAAUAACAUUCCUGGAAGAUCCUUCCAUGAGAACUGAAUUUUGAAGGCAGUUAUAAAGCUUUGGUCAAUUCCUGUUUCUUAAUACUGACAAAUGCAAAAGCAGACUCAGAAGAUCAUCGUCACAUUCCUUUCCACAGCAAUAAAAGGCUCAUUAAGCUCAGUGUAUAACCACGUCUGCCUUGAAGUCAAUCACAGUUCUACCACCAACCGCAAUGGGAUCCAGGCCUAGAUCCAGAGCCUGCUCUUUUGGGCCACUUCUUCUCUUGUGGGGGGCACUGCGAAGACUGACUCCGUGGGGAGCUGCACAGAAAACAAGCAGUGGCAUUGCCACGGAACUGAUGCUGGCAUAUAAACUUGGCUUUAACCUCUGGAGAACGUGAGCACUGGAGAGUAGUGUGAAUGGUGACAGCUGACCACAGUGCUCCAGUUCCCUCUCUUGGUCACACUGCAUAAACUGACUUUUGCAUUCAGUUGGGAUACAGAGAUAUCCUAAUGUAGAAUCAAACCCACUGAUUGCAUCUAAUUAGAAGGUAGAACUACCAGGAAUACAACACUGUAUGUGAAAUUAUAUAGAAGUCCUUCAAUCUAACACCGUCUAAUUGAAGGCAGAUCCUUGAUGACUCAGAAUUAGCAGUUAAAAAGAAAAUGUCUGUUCCAACGAGAGAAAAAAACUCAGUAACACUUUUGCUAUUAACAACAGUGGAAAUCAAUCUGAGACCUUCUUUGUGCAAUGAAGAGAUAUCAUUACUAGUGUAUUUUAAAAAUGAUUGCAGCAAUCAUGUCCCUUCUAGUCAUGACCCAAUCCUGGUCAGCAUUAUCACUACAAAAAUUUAACAAGGUAGUACACUCAGGAUCUAAAUUUCCAGGUUCCUAAUCAUCUUUGGCCUAACACCAAUGAUUCAUUUCACAAAUGAGAAACCUUUUGUCGCAGAUUUGGUAGUAGGAAUGAUAAUUCUAGAAACAUCUAGAUGAAUCUAGCAAAAUCUUUUGAAAAUACUGAAUUGGAUAAAAGUCAAAAUAUUUGGCUCCAUCUAUUGGACCAAAGACCAAGUCUGAUUUUAUUUGCUUUUUAAAACAAUUCAUAUUUCUGCUCCUACCACAGCAAAUUUCAACCUACACAUAUUGUAAAAAAAACCUAAAAACUUCUAAAAACUGAAGUGAAGAUGGAAAAUCUAUACUGGUAUAUCUAAGUAAGAAUUUAAGGGUCAGUUUCAGAUAUGUUUCAGUGAAAAAGUAGAUAGAAAACUUCUGGAGCGGAAUGAGCAGCAUUGCUUUAGGGCAGACAGUGUAUCAUGGGCUUGUAUUGCCAGUUGCUCCCUUCACUCCUACCUUGCUAACUGCAGCAGCCCGUUAGUUUGCUAAGAGUGGAAAAAAAAGUCUAAGCCAAGUAGUAAAUGUCUGCUUUGCUUAUUGCCUUAGCAACUCUUACUAAUGUUGUAAGGUAACUUGGCUCUCAGGAGAUUAAGAUUCUACAUGUUUUGCUUCCUAAUAGCCUUUUAUUUUCCACAUAAAUGUUGUGUUAAUGAGUUAGAACCUAAUAAAUAUGUUUCUUUGG
ensembl:lncRNA